CUUUUCUUCCUUUUUCUAUCUAUAUAAAAAAACAAUAGUAUGACUACAGCAGUGCUAUCCUUUUUCUAAGUUGAACUUAAAAUUCAUGUCUCUUGCGCAAACAUGAACACCUACCAAACACGUGCUUCUGUCCGAAGAUUUCAUGUGCCUCAUGUGUGUGUGUGUGUAUAUAUAUAUAUAGUAGGAGUUAAGAUAUAGGGAGAGUAUGGAAAAGAAAUAGAAUACAUUUCUUUAAGGAAA
rnacentral:lncRNA from 1 species